rnacentral:rRNA from 1 species
GACGAACGCUGGCGGCGUGCUUAACACAUGCAAGUCGAGCGAGGCCCCUCCUUCGGGCGGGUGUCCUAGCGGCGAACGGGUGAGUAACACGUGGGCAACCUGCCCUCAGCUCUGGGAUAACUCCGGGAAACCGGGGCUAAUACCGGAUACGACCUCCACGGGCAUCUGCGGAGGUGGAAAGUUUUUCGGCUGAGGAUGGGCCCGCGGCCUAUCAGCUAGUUGGUGGGGUAGUGGCCCACCAAGGCGACGACGGGUAGCCGGCCUGGGAGGGCGACCGGCCACACUGGGACUGAGACACGGCCCAGACUCCUACGGGAGGCAGCAGUGGGGAAUAUUGCGCAAUGGGCGAAAGCCUGACGCAGCGACGCCGCGUGGGGGACGAAGGCCUUCGGGUUGUAAACCUCUUUCAGCAGGGACGAAGCGAAAGUGACGGUACCUGCAGAAGAAGCACCGGCCAACUACGUGC